rnacentral:rRNA from 1 species
AACGAACGCUGGCGGCGUGCCUAACACAUGCAAGUCGAGCGCGAAAGGAGCAAUCCGAGUAGAGCGGCGCACGGGUGCGUAACACGUGGAUAAUCUGCCUCAGGGUCGAGGAUAACCUUCCGAAAGGUUGGCUACUACUCGGUAAGCUUACGGUGACUUCGGUCGCUGUGAGAAAACUAGACCUCUAUUUAUAAUGUUAGGCCCAGAGAUGAGUCCGCGGCCCAUCAGCUAGUUGGCGGGGGAACGGCCCACCAAGGCCACGACGGGUAGCUGGUCUGAGAGGACGAUCAGCCACACUGGAACUGAGACACGGUCCAGACUCCUACGGGAGGCAGCAGUGGGGAAUUUUCCACAAUGGGCGAAAGCCUGAUGGAGCAACGCCGCGUGUGUGAUGAAGGUCUUCGGAUCGUAAAGCACUUUCGACUGGGACGAAAAACCUUUGGCUAACAUCCAGGGGCCUGACGGUACCAGGAGAAGAAGCACCGGCUAACUCUGUGCCAGCCGCCGCCGUAAUAC